GGGAGGUAGUGACAAUAAAUAACAAUAUGGGGCCCUUACGGGUCUCGUAAUUGGAAUGAGUACAAUUUAAAUCUCUUAACGAGGAACAAUUGGAGGGCAAGUCUGGUGCCAGCAGCCGCGGUAAUUCCAGCUCCAAUAGCGUAUAUUAAAGUUGUUGCAGUUAAAAAGCUCGUAGUUGAAUUUCGGAAUCUGUCCAUCGGUCGGGCUUCAUUGUUCGUACUGGUGUGGUGGGUUCUUACCUUCUGAAUAACCAGCAUGCCAUUCACUUGGUGCGUUGGGGAAGCAGGACUAUUACCUUGAAAAAUUAGAGUGCUCAAAGCAGGCCAGUGCCUGAAUACACUAGCAUGGAAUAAUAAAAUAGGACGGCAUGGUUCUAUUUUGUUGGUUUCUAGGAUCACCGUAAUGAUUAAUAGGGAUAGUUGGG
rnacentral:rRNA from 1 species